rnacentral:sRNA from 1 species
GAAAUGUUGAAAAAAUUUAGAAAUGCCAUGUUAAAGAGCAUCUGUGAGGUUCUUGAUUUGGAGAGAUCAGGUGUAAAUAGUGAACUAGUGAAGAGGAUCUUGAAUUUCUUAAUGCAUCCAAAGCCUUCUGGCAAACCAUUGCCGAAAUCUAAAAAAACUUGUAGCAAAGGCAGUAAAAAGGAACGGAACAGUUCUGGAAUGGCAAGGAAGGCUAAGCGAACCAAAUGUCCUGAAAUUCUGUCAGAUGAAUCUAGUAGUGAUGAAGAUGAAAAGAAAAACAAGGAAGAGUCUUCAGAUGAUGAAGAUAAAGAAAGUGAAGAGGAGCCACCAAAAAAGACAGCCAAAAGAGAAAAACCUAAACAGAAAGCUACUUCUAAAAGUAAAAAAUCUGUGAAAAGUGCCAAUGUUAAGAAAGCAGAUAGCAGCACCACCAAGAAGAAUCAAAACAGUUCCAAAAAAGGUAUGUUAGAAAUAACAUUAAUCAGCAACUUUAAAGAUAUAGCAUAUAUUAAUAUGUUGUACAUAGUAUUUAAGUGUGUGGGGGAAACAGGUAAACUGCAGAGAACAUUGCGGGGAGAAGUAAUACAGGUUGAAUAUCCCUUAUCUGAAAUGCUUGGGACAGGAAGUGAUUCAGAUUUUGCAAUAUAUAUAUAUAGAGAGAGAGAGAGAGAGAGAUAUCUUGGGGAUGGGACCCAGUCUAAACAUGAAAUUCAUUCAUGUUUCAUAUUCAUCUUAAAUAGCCUGAAGGUAGUUUAAUAUUUUAACUAAAUAAAUUAUUUAUUGCAGUGG